CGGCAGGCCUAACACAUGCAAGUCGAGCGGUAGCACAGAGAGCUUGCUCUCGGGUGACGAGCGGCGGACGGGUGAGUAAUGUCUGGGAAACUGCCUGAUGGAGGGGGAUAACUACUGGAAACGGUAGCUAAUACCGCAUAACGUCGCAAGACCAAAGUGGGGGACCUUCGGGCCUCAUGCCAUCAGAUGUGCCCAGAUGGGAUUAGCUAGUAGGUGGGGUAAUGGCUCACCUAGGCGACGAUCCCUAGCUGGUCUGAGAGGAUGACCAGCCACACUGGAACUGAGACACGGUCCAGACUCCUACGGGAGGCAGCAGUGGGGAAUAUUGCACAAUGGGCGCAAGCCUGAUGCAGCCAUGCCGCGUGUAUGAAGAAGGCCUUCGGGUUGUAAAGUACUUUCAGCGAGGAGGAAGGCAUUAAGGUUAAUA
rnacentral:rRNA from 1 species